rnacentral:rRNA from 1 species
UACGAAGGGGGCUAGCGUUGUUCGGAAUUACUGGGCGUAAAGCGCACGUAGGCGGACUAUUAAGUCAGGGGUGAAAUCCCAGAGCUCAACUCUGGAACUGCCUUUGAUACUGGGUAUCUCGAGUAUGGAAGAGGUGAGUGGAAUUCCGAGUGUAGAGGUGAAAUUCGUAGAUAUUCGGAGGAACACCAGUGGCGAAGGCGGCUCACUGGUCCAUUACUGACGCUGAGGUGCGAAAGCGUGGGGAGCAAACAGG